GUCUGUCUUUGUCUCUGUCUGUCUCUUUCCUCCGCAGGAUACCUCUCCAUAGUACAGCAUGACUUCUUAAUUGCAUUCCAAGGUUGACUCAUCAUGCUUCCUCUGUUUUUGAGGUCUCAAAUUGCACCUAUGUUAAGCAAUGCACCUGUAGCCUGAUCUGUGAACUGCUGCUCACAUCAUAAAGAACCCCAUGACUAAACAUGUUAUUUUUGAGGCUCUGAACAAUGUUUUUGCCUGAAUUUACAUAAUUAUUCCAAUUUUUUUACUCCCUCAACUAAACUGUACUUCUCUGUGGAUCUUUCCAAAGUCUUUGCUUACUUGUAUUUAUCUAUGAACCAGCUCUACAAGGAAGGCAUAAUCCCAACUCUCCAGCAUUAGUUAGGAGGAGCAAUGGAUGAGGAAAUUGGAUAAAAUGAUCAUUUAGCUAAAGAAGAUGUCCGCUUAGAGUGAUUAACUGUUUAGAAUCGUUGCAUAAAUGACAAUCAUACUGACCUAAGUUCUCAACUUCCUUUCUUCAUUGUCAUUUUCAGUGUGCAUAGUAAGGUCGGGAUGAACAAUUUCUGAGCUUUGUUUGCAAGUUUAGGCUUCAGUAUCUGUACAUGAAGGUAGGAAAAAAUUCAAUUAAUCAGUCAUAUCUCCAUUUUUAGAAGGUAGAGUGAUGGAAAGUCUUCCCUUGUGUCUCAGCAAAGGUACUGGAAAGGCCAACUUGGCUUGUUGAUUUGGAGAAUAUCUGGUUAAUGGAUAGUUAUGUACUGUUGAAGGGGACACUCCUCUGGUACACUAUUGCAUGCCUGGAAUUCCAUGGUAUUCUUUGUGAUGUCACUAGUGUUAUGGAAACAGAAGCUGCCCUUGUGGUAUUUUGUUAAUGCUUAUUGUUUUAGACACAGACAUGUUUUCUAGGAUUAUCGAGUUAUUUACAGGAAAAACAGAGUGCAUGGAGAGAUGAGAGAGAAAAAAAAUGAUAUUAGGACUUCUUUCUUGUUAUAAAUAUGCAAAAUAAAUAAUCUGGUGUAAAGCAGAGAGAGUAAGCCCUGAGCCAGUACUGGGGAACUUCCUGGAGAAGCUGUGCUUGGGUCAGACCUUCUAGGAGCAGGACUUAUGGUCUGAAACAUCUGGACUUUUAAAGAAGGGACCAAGCGUCAAGAAUAUCUGAUGAAUAUUUGGCAGACAGCCAGAAAUUGACAAGCAUGCAGGUCUGCUGGGAAGGCAUCAUGCCAACCUUCCACCAUCAAUGAGCAAGUUCAGCAGAUUAAGAAGUAGGAGAAACUGACUAUUGAGCUCAAGAAGAAAACCUAAAAGCAGAAGCUGUGUUUGAAUAACAGACGAGAUAUGGCAAGCAGUGUGUGAGCUCUCAUCCUGGAUUUUAAUAGAGAGAGAUGCAUUUUCUGUCCUCAGAGGAACACAGAAAGUUGGUCAGCUACAGAAGCACAGUAACUUAAACUU